rnacentral:rRNA from 1 species
GUGGCGAAGGCGGCUGUCUGGUCUGUAACUGACGUGAGGAGGGAGGUGUGGGUAGCAAACAGGAUUAGAUACGGAGAGGCCCCUAAACGAUGAACGCUAAGUGUUGGAGGGUUUCCGCCCUUCAGUGCUGCAGCUAACGCAUAAAGAGGGCGGCCUGGGGGAGUAUUUCCGCAAGGUUGAAACUCAAAGGAAUUGACGGGGGCCCGCACAAGCGGUGGAGCAUGUGGUUUAAUUCGAAGCUACGCGAAGAACCUUACCAGGUCUUGACAUCUUCUGCCAAUCUAAGAGAUAAGACUUUCCCUUCGGGGACAGAAUGACAGGUGGGUGAUGGUUGUCGUCAGCUCGUGUCGGGGAGAUGUGGGGUUAUUCUCCCUAUUUGGCAACCCCUUAUUUUUUUUUUUCUAGAUUAGGUGGGCACUCUUGUGAAAUGCCGGGGAAAAACCGGGGAAAGGGGGGGGACGACAAAACAUAUGCCCCUUAUGACUGGGGCAAAA